AAACUACGAUUAGAUACCCUAUUAUACAAAACNUUAAUAUAAAAAAUUUAAGUAGUAAGAGUUAAAGUCUUGAAACUUAAAGAAUUUGGCGGUAUUUUAGUCUCAUUAGAGGAACUUGUCCCAUAAUUGAUAGUCCACGUUAUUUAGACUAAAUCUAUAAGUUUGUAUGCCGCCGUUUAGAGAAUUUCUUAAGAUGAUUUUCAAUAAAUUUAUAAUAUUAAAGUUCAGGUCAAGGGGCANCCAAUGGUUUAGGAGGAGAUGAGUUACAUUAUUUUUAUGUGCGGAUUAAUUAAUGAAGAUGGAUUUAGGUGUAAUUUUAUAGGUUAUACAAAUUGAUAUGAGCUCUAAAAUAUGUA
rnacentral:rRNA from 1 species